ensembl:lncRNA
UCGAGAGGUUAUUUCCGACAUUAUCCGUAGAUCCAAACGACUGACUGAGCUGCAUACAAAAAAGAAAGAAGAAAAAAAGCUGCGAUUAGAUCUAAUGAAUAUCUACUUAUAAUGUGGUGAAAUUGUAUCUUAAAUUGUGUGGGUCUGAUGAGUAUGUUCAAAUUCAAAUGCACAAUGAAUUAAAUAUUUAUUAUAAAACGGUAAGUAUGACAAAUAAGUCGUUAAUAUGCUUAUAUAUACGGUACACAUGGAAUCAGCAGCAGCAUCUAAUCCGAGGAACCCGGAAGGUUGCCUGUGUGUGACGUCACGGUAUCUUCAUCUUUAGCAAAAAGGAACGUCAAAAUCUCAGCAACAGAGGGCGACAAAGAGCAAGAAAUCAAUGCUGUAAUCCUACAGGUUUGAUUGCAGAUUAAUAAAUCACGUUUUCACUUAUUCAAAGACUGACGUAUCUGUGACGUUCAGCGCAGAACAAGAGCGACAUCUGCAUAUACAUAUAGAGUUGCAUCAUUAAUGUAAUUUAGGUCUUCCGUUCAACUAACACGAACACUUAGCGAUUUAGCUGACAAAACAAGUAAACUCGGCCAUAACGACUCGGGGGUUUCUAAGAACAUCCCUUCCUAGUUUCUAUAUUUGGAAAUGACUUCUAGGAAAAUAGAAACUGCCAGCUCCAUAUCCAGUUCCACGUGUUUAACUUGCACCCUUUUAAAGCAAAGGAAAAGCAUCGGGCAGCAGGAUGAUCAGCCACACAUUGAUGAUCAUUAAUAGACUGGAGACUGUCAGCAAGGAAUUUAGCGCACAAUUGGCGUGUGUUGCUGAAAAUGGCAUCUCCCCCUGCACGGCCCCUGCUUUACCUAGUAGCGUGACCAUGAAGCAAUGAACGAGCAGAGAGAUCUUAACAUGCACAGAGUCAGUCUGCUGCUCUAGACGCUUGCUCAUCUCACCAGCAGGAGCACGUAUAGCGUGCACUUAAAGAAACAAGAUCUCAUUCAGAUCAGCCAGAUGUUUCUUUCAGUCCCACAGUGCUGUUUUAUACAUUCGAGAAGCAGACAGAUUGUGUCUGAGAGAGUACCUGAACUCUCUGGGGAGUCGAACACACUGUCUGGGACUCAACUGACGCCUAUGUCUCCUAACAAAAGCCCGUAAUAGGUCGGAUAGCGUUUUAAUAAAGCUAUCUAACGUCAUCCUCAAAUCAUACGCUUGAAAAGUUAGUGAUCGAUUUUGUACCCAUUGUAUUAUGUUAGUGCAUGCAUACAUGUAACAUUUUUCACUUGGAGCCAUGGCUGAAGAAGGUCACUUGCUGUGAUUUGUGAUCAAAUGUCUUAGAAACAAGCCUAAAAAUGUCAAAUUAAUGAGCAUGCAUGGCAUUUGCCAUAUUCAAGUUUAUGUAAAUAACACUUUUCACAAUACAAAGC